GCUUACGACCACACACCGGCCUGAGUACGCCUGAUCUCGUCUGAUCUCGGAAGCUAAGCAGGGUCGGGCCUGGUUAGUACUUGGAUGGGAGACCGCCUGGGAUACCAGGUGCUGUAAGCU
rnacentral:rRNA from 1 species